rnacentral:SRP_RNA from 1 species
GCAUGGUGGCGCCACCUGCAGUCCAGCUAUUUGGGAGGCUGAGGCAGGAGGAUCACGUGAGCCCAGGAGUUCUAAGCUGUCGUGCGCUAUGCUCAGUAAGUGUCCACACUAAGGUCGGUGUCAAUGUGGUGAUCUCCUGGGAGUGGGGACCACCAGGUUGCCUCCGGAGGGGUAAACUGGCCCAGGUUGGAAACGGAGUGGACAAAACUCCCAUGCUGAUGGGUAGUGAGGUCAUGCCCAUGGGCAGCCACCACAGGGGGAAAUAUAGCAGGAA